rnacentral:rRNA from 1 species
UACAGAGGUCCCGAGCGUUGUUCGGAUUCACUGGGCGUAAAGGGUGCGUAGGUGGCGAGGUAAGUCGGAUGUGAAAUCUCCAAGCUCAACUUGGAAAUGGCAUUGGAAACUACCUUGCUAGAGGUUGGAGGGGGACUUGGAAUUGCUCGGUGUAGCAGUGAAAUGCGUAGAUAUCGAGAGGAACACCAGUGGCGAAGGCGGUGUCCCUGGACAACACCUGACCACUGAGGCACGAAAGCUAGGGGAGCAAACAGG